rnacentral:rRNA from 1 species
GACGAACGCUGGCGGCGUGCUUAACACAUGCAAGUCGAACGGAAAGGCCCUGCUUUUGUGGGGUGCUCGAGUGGCGAACGGGUGAGUAACACGUGAGUAACCUGCCCUUGACUUUGGGAUAACUUCAGGAAACUGGGGCUAAUACCGGAUAGGAGCUCCUGCUGCAUGGUGGGGGUUGGAAAGUUUCUGCGGUUGGGGAUGGACUCGCGGCUUAUCAGCUUGUUGGUGGGGUAGUGGCUUACCAAGGCUUUGACGGGUAGCCGGCCUGAGAGGGUGACCGGCCACAUUGGGACUGCGAUACGGCCCAGACUCCUACGGGAGGCAGCAGUGGGGAAUAUUGCACAAUGGGCGGAAGCCUGAUGCAGCAACGCCGCGUGCGUGAUGACGGCCUUCGGGUUGUAAACCGCUUUCGCCUGUGACGAAGCGUGAGUGACGGUAAUGGGUAAAGAAGCACCGGCUAACUACGUG